rnacentral:rRNA from 1 species
ACUCCUACGGGAGGCAGCAGUGGGGAAUCUUAGACAAUGGGCGCAAGCCUGAUCUAGCCAUGCCGCGUGAGUGACGAAGGCCUUAGGGUCGUAAAGCUCUUUCGCCAGAGAUGAUAAUGACAGUANNCUGGUAAAGAAACCCCGGCUAACUCC